rnacentral:rRNA from 1 species
AAUGAACGCUGGCGGCAGGCCUAACACAUGCAAGUCGAACGGAUCCUUCGGGAUUAGUGGCGGACGGGUGAGUAACGCGUGGGAACAUACCCUUUGGUACGGAAUAGCCUCGGGAAACUGGGAGUAAUACCGUAUGUGGUCGAGAGAAGAAAGAUUUAUCGCCAAAGGAUUGGCCCGCGUUGGAUGAGGUAGUUGGUGGGGUAAUGGCCUACCAAGCCGACGAUCAAUAGCUGGUUUGAGAGGAUGAUAAGCCACACUGGGACUGAGACACGGCCCAGACUCCUACGGGAGGCAGCAGUGGGGAAUCUUAGACAAUGGGGGAAACCCUGAUCUAGCCAUGCCGCGUGAUCGAUGAAGGCCUUAGGGUUGUAAAGAUCUUUCAGGUGGGAAGAUAAUGACUGUACCACCAGAAGAAGCUCCGGCUAACUCCGUGCCAGCAGCCGCCGUAA